rnacentral:rRNA from 1 species
UAGGGAAUCUUCCACAAUGGACGCAAGUCUGAUGGAGCAACGCCGCGUGAGUGAAGAAGGUUUUCGGACCGUAAAGCUCUGUUGUUGGUGAAGAAGGAUAGAGGUAGUAACUGGCCUUUAUUUGACGGUAAUCAACCAGAAAGUCACGGCUAACUACGUGCCAGCAGCCGCGGUAAUACGUAGGUGGCAAGCGUUGUCCGGAUUUAUUGGGCGUAAAGCGAGCGCAGGCGGAAGAAUAAGUCUGAUGUGAAAGCCCUCGGCUUAACCGAGGAAUUGCAUCGGAAACUGUUUUCUUGAGUGCAGAAGAGGAGAGUAGAACUCCAUGUGUAGCGGUGGAAUGCGUAGAUAUAUGGAAGAAUACCAGUGGCGAAGGCGGCUCUCUGGUCUGCAACUGACGCUGAGGCUCGAAAGCAUGGGUAGCGAACAGGAUUAGAUACCCUGGUAGUCCAUGCCGUAAACGAUGAGUGCUAAGUGUUGGGAGGCUUCCGCCUCUCAGUGCUGCAGCUAACGCAUUAAGCACUCCGCCUGGGGGAGUACGACCGCAAGGUUGAAA